rnacentral:tRNA from 1 species
GCCCAGGUAACUCAUUUGGUUAGAGUGUUGUCCUGAUAUGCCAAGACUGUGAGUUUGAUCCCCAGUCUAGGCA